rnacentral:rRNA from 1 species
UACGGAGGGUGCGAGCGUUGAUCGGAAUCACUGGGCGUGAAGGGCACGCAGGCGGGCUUUUAAGUGAGAUGUGAAAUCCCCGGGCUGAACCUGGGAAUAGCAUUUCAGACUGGGAGGCUAGAGUACUUUAGGGAGGGGUGGAAUUCCACGUGUAGCGGUGAAAUGCGUAGAGAUGUGGAGGAAUACCGAAGGCGAAGGCAGCCCCUUGGGAAUGUACUGACGCUCAUGUGCGAAAGCGUGGGGAGCAAACAGG